rnacentral:lncRNA from 1 species
CCUUUCACCUUUGCCCGACGCCAACGACACGUCACACACUCACACGUCACACGGAACACAUUCAUUUUACGGUUCUCUCCGCGUAGUGCGGUAGUGCCCAUCUCCCGCAGUUCAUUGUUGUAGAUUUUAAUUCUGCCACUGUGUUCCGACCGGGGUAGUCGUUUUACAACCGAUAAUUGUAUUACGACUACCUUGGUCGGGGUGGUUUCCGGGAACGUCAGGAUCAAAGGUCAAAAGUCAAAACCAAUGUUCUCGUGACGUGUAUCGAUCAAUCGUAUGCCAAAUAGAAUAUUCAAGAUGGCCGCCAAACAGCGAGCAGGCGCAACGCACUCGCUCUGGAAAUCUUUAGCAAAAUUUACUCCGACGCACCUCUCCAACCCUGCCUGCAGCUCCGACCGUGGUUACGGUAAUUGAAUCCUGCACACACCCGUUUUCAUGAGCGUACUGCAGAACAUUUAAUUCUUCUGGUCAUGUAACAAAAAAAAUUCUACACCGAGGGCAACCGUUUUUAUGUGCGUACACCAGACAGUCUAAGUGUCAAUUAGCCACAGCGUUGGCACGUUUGUUUUCAUCCGAUGGUCAUCAAAGGCUAUGGGAUAAAAGUUGGCGUGCCAACGCUGCGGCACUUAGAUUGUCUGUUGUGCGCACGUAAAAACGUUUGCUCUCGUCAUAAAACUCACAUCAGAGAUGUUAUUCUCGUUCAGAAAAAUUAGAUAAUCUGCAGUGUGCACGUGAAAACAGAUGCGUAUCGAGAUAAAAUUAUCGACCGACUGUUGUAAUACAAAAACCAAUAUGAAUAACAAUUAUUUUGUGUGCCGUACCUACCGUUAAACUUCUUCUGCUGUAAUCCAAUAUUAUGUACUUUUAAUUGUUGUCUAUGAACCAUUGAGCUAGACAGCUGUUUACCGUAAUUUAACCCUGCACACACCCGUUUUCAUGAGCGUACUGCAGAACAUUUAAUUCUUCUGGUCAUGUAACAAAAAAAAUUCUACACCGAGGGCAACCGUUUUUAUGUGCGUACACCAGACAGUCUAAGUGUCAAUUAGCCACAGCGUUGGCACGUUUGUUUUCAUCCGAUGGUUCAUCAAAGGCUAUGGGAUAAAAGUUGGCGUGCCAACGCUGCGGCACUUAGAUUGUCUGUUGUGCGCAUGUAAAAACGUCUGCUCUCGUCAUAAAACUCACAUCAGAGAUGUUAUUCUCGUUCAGAAAAAUUAGAUAAUCUGCAGUGUGCACGUGAAAACGGAUGCGUAUCGAGAUAAAAUUAUCGACCGACUAUAAUUGUAAUACAAAAACCAAUGUGAAUAACAAUAUUAUUUUGUUUGCCGUACCGAAAAACUUCUGCUGCUGUAGUUCUAUAUCAUGUACUUUUAAUUUGUUGUCUAUGAAAUAUUGAGCUAGACUUUACGGUAAUUUAAUCCUGCACACACCCGUUUUCCUGUGCGUACUGCAGAAAAUUCAAUUAUUCUGGUCCUGUAACAAAAAAAAUUCUACACCGAGGGCAAUCGUUUUUAUGUGCGUACACCAGACAGUCUAAGUGUCAAUUAGCCACAGCGUUGGCACGUUUGUUUUCAUCCGAUGACGUCAUCAGAGGCUAUGGGAUAAAAGUUGGCGUGCCAACGCUGCGGCACUUAGAUUGUCUGUUGUGCGCAUGUAAAAACGUCUGCUCUCGUCAUAAAACUCACAUCAGAGAUGUCAUUCUCGUUCAGAAAAAUUAGAUAAUCUGCAGUGCGCACGUGAAAACGGACGCGUAUCGAGAAAAAAUUAUCGUCCGACUAUUGUAAUACAAAAACCAAUAUGGAUAACAAUUAUUUUGUUUGCCGUACCGAUAAACUUCUGCUGCGUAGUAAUGUACGAUGUUAUAUAUUUUUAAUAUUGUUGUCUAUGAACUAUUGAGCUAGACGGCUGUUUACAAUAUUAUAAACAUUAACAUAGAUUACCUAAUUACAGAAAUGUGUAUUUGUUUUUCUAAAGUAAAAUUUACUUAUGGAUGUUAUUCUUUUAAUGUUUGUAACACACAUUAUUAACAGCGUAUUAAUAAAUGCAUAUUGUAUAUUCAAUAAUCA